rnacentral:rRNA from 1 species
UACGGAGGAUCCGAGCGUUAUCCGGAAUUAUUGGGUUUAAAGGGUGCGUAGGCGGAAAUGUAAGUCAGUGGUGAAAUCCUGCAGCUUAACUGUAGAAUAGCCGUUGAAACUGUGUUUCUUGAGUACAUUUGAGGUAGGCAGAAUGUGGUGUGUAGCGGUGAAAUGCAUGGAUAUACCACAGAACACCGAUUGCGAAGGCAGCUUACUAAACUGUCACUGACGCUGAUGCACGAAAGCGUGGGUAUCAAACAGGAUUA